rnacentral:rRNA from 1 species
AGUGAACGCUGGCGGCAGGCCUAACACAUGCAAGUCGAACGGCAGCACAGGAGAGCUUGCUCUCUGGGUGGCGAGUGGCGGACGGGUGAGGAUAGCGUCGGAAUCUGCCUAUUUGUGGGGGAUAACCUCGGGAAACCGGGACUAAUACCGCAUACGACCUACGGGUGAAAGCGGAGGACCUUCGGGCUUCGCGCAGAUAGAUGAGCCGACGUCGGAUUAGCUAGUUGGCGGGGUAAGGGCCCACCAAGGCGACGAUCCGUAGCUGGUCUGAGAGGAUGAUAAGCCACACUGGAACUGAGACACGGUCCAGACUCCUACGGGAGGCAGCAGUGGGGAAUAUUGGACAAUGGGCGCAAGCCUGAUCCAGCCAUGCCGCGUGGGUGAAGAAGGCCUUCGGGUUGUAAAGCCCUUUUGUUGGGAAAGAAAAGCAGCCGGUUAAUACCCGGUUGUCAUGACGGUACCCAAAGAAUAAGCACCGGCUAACUUCGUGCCAGCCGCCGCCGUAA